rnacentral:rRNA from 1 species
GACGAACGCUGGCGGCGUGCUUAACACAUGCAAGUCGAACGGUGAUGCUCCAGCUUGCUGGAGUGGAUCAGUGGCGAACGGGUGAGUAACACGUGAGCAACCUGCCCCAGACUCUGGAAUAAGCGCUGGAAACGGCGUCUAAUACUGGAUACGAAACUGGCCCGCAUGGGCAUGGUUUGGAAAGUUUUUCGGUUUGGGAUGGGCUCGCGGCCUAUCAGCUUGUUGGUGAGGUAAUGGCUCACCAAGGCGACGACGGGUAGCCGGCCUGAGAGGGCGACCGGCCACCCUGGGACUGAGACACGGCCCAGACUCCUACGGGAGGCAGCAGUGGGGAAUAUUGCACAAUGGGCGCAAGCCUGAUGCAGCGACGCCGCGUGGGGGAUGACGGCCUUCGGGUUGUAAACCUCUUUCAGCAGGGAAGAAGCGAAAGUGACGGUACCUGCAGAAGAAGCACCGGCUAACUACGUG